GCGAAUUAGCGGGCUGGAGCGCGGGGAUGUCGGAGGUGGCGAGGUUUAAGCGGAAUUAGUGGGGGUAAAGCGUUGGCGGGGGGUUUUGUAAGCCGGAUGGGAAAUCCCCGGGCUUAACCUGGGAAUGGCAUUUGGGACUGCAAGGCUGGAGUGCGGCAGAGGAGACUGGAAUUCCUGGUGUAGCAGUGAAAUGCGUAGAUAUCAGGAGGAAUACCGAUGGCGAAGGCAGGUCUCUGGGCUGACACUGACGCUCAUGCACGAAAGCGUGGGGAGCAAACAGGAUUAGAUACCCUUGUAGUC
rnacentral:rRNA from 1 species